CUGGAAGUCUCUUGCUGUCCAAGGAUGCUGUACUUGUGUGACAAGAAAAUCUGAUUUGCUCCAAGGCAAGGGCAAAGAUAAUUUUUAUUGUUGAUCCUGCACAGCCAGGUCUAGUCUUCAGGACAUAUAUCAUCUGGCUUUUGACCUCCUCCCCUCACCGUGGAGUUACCUUGGUUUCACUGAGAAUGCCUGGAUUUCUGGUUGCUCAUCUUAUUAAUAAGUUAUGCCUCCAGGUUUCUCUUGGCCUUCCAUUGACAAUGCUACUUCGAGAGGAGCGCAUCUGUGUCCUUCUCACUUGUAGCUGCUUCAGCACCCCUGUCAGAUCUAUGAAGUGUGCAAUGCUGUCCCAGAGAAUCAGAGCAGCUGAGUGGGGAAUUCAUCCUUGGCACAAAGACCUGACGCUUGCAGGAUAUCUCAUGAGCCUCAGGUCUGUUUGCACGUUUCUAACUGCUGUGAUUAAUUUGUGGCCACUGAGAGUCCUGUUAGUGUAAUAGCACUGCUCUCAUGUCCUGGCUCAACUGCAAUGGGGUGAUGAUGCCUCUCCAGGACCUCUUUACUGUCUCCUUCAGGACAGUGCUCUCUAAGCUAUUCCUGGCUUUUUAUCCAAAGCUGUGUGCUUUUGGCUGUUGUGGUGAGGGAUGUUUGGCUGGAGGUCCCAGCAAGGUGUAGGCAGUGUCUUGCAGUGUCUGAGACUUCUCCCUGUGGAGCCUUUCUUGAAGAGGUUGAGCAACCAAGACCUGCAACAGGAGUGCUUUGUGACCUCCUUUCAAAGCUGUAGGAAACCAGCAGCAGGGCAAUGACCAUUGCCUCGUGCUUCUGUCAGUCUGCAUGGCUCCAUGGUGCUCAUGGAAUUUAUAACUUCCAGUGCAUAAACCAGCACCAAUCUCUCCCCUCUAAGCAGUAUUAGACUGAUCGACUAUUGAGGCUUAAAGGUUUUUCCAACAGAAUCAGAAAGUACUAGGAGUACAGGAGUUUGUCUGGAGAUUUGACCCUGCUCUGCAUAGCCUCCCAGAAAGGUUUCUAUCUUCUAUUGACCAGGUGAGAGCCAUAUUCUCCGUUAGUGACAUGCCUUCCAUGCAGAACUGUUCCUUCUCCACCUCGCAGCAGAUGAGGUGUGAGCUGCAGUGUACAAAGGAGGCACUGAGCCAGGCUUGGGAAGCCGACCUCCCUGUUCAUAUUGUCUUCCUGAUGCAAUCCUUCCUCCCAGUGCUGCUGCAACCAGAGUAUGGCUGCCUGCUGGUCUGAGCUGUAUUCAUUACAAAGGCCCAGCUGCCUGAGUUGAGCCCCCAGAAGAGAGAGCCCAGGUGAAGGUCUCCGUCAGCUCUCCUUCAGCCCUGUGGGAUUUUUGGUGAGUCACUGGAAAAUGGGAGGUAAAGGGAAUUUGCUCUGAGAAAUUCCAUGUGCA
rnacentral:lncRNA from 1 species